UUAUAUAAAUUAUAUUCCGAAUGUAAUUUCCUUAAUUUCACUGGAUCAGUGAGAUUAUUUCCCUUAAUCUGUUAUAAUCCCAAAAGAUUAUUGAAAUCACUCUUUUGGCAAUUACGUGAGGUUACGUAAUUCCUUCUUAUAUAAUCCUUAUUUUGCCGGUCGGUAAUUUCUCUGGGCGGGUAUCGUCAGGAGGGGUGUGACCCCACCUGGCCUCCCUGGUACUGGCCCAACUGUCUGGUCGUAACAAUAACGUCCAUUAUUUUAUUAUUAUAUUUGGGGAAAAGGUUCGAAAAAUUAAUGGUAAAAAAAUUGGGUUAUUUAAUUAUUAAAUAUUAAAUAUUAAAUUUGCAACAAAUUGGCGCCCUAAUUAAACGUUUGGAAAUAAAUAUUGUAAAAAUUUUAAUAUAUAAUAUCGAGGACGUAUUUGACAAAAAAUAAAUAUAUAUUUUGGUUACGUACAAUAUUUAAAAAAUAUUCGACGCCGUAUUACGCAACCGGUUAAUAUUACGUUUAAAAGAAUAAAAAUGGCCUAAUAACGUAAUAAAAUGGACGGAAAAUUUUAUAACGGAACGCCGAAUUAACGUUAAAUAUAAAGGAUUUAUAAUAAAAAUGGAACCGUUUAAAUGCGGGUUAUUAUAAAAUUCGCCAAUAUUACCGGUCCUGUACCUAUUAUAUAUAUAAUUUAUAUAUUACCUAAAAAAUCCCAAAACCAAAUUCGGAUAUGCGGAUAAUUGCAUUAUAUUAUACGUGGGGAAAAUAUUAAAAACUAUUGCACGUAAAAUAUAAUAAGUAUUGGAUAAAAUAAUAAAAUGCGGACGGGCCAACGGCGUUAAUUUCGGCCCUAAUAAAAUAAAAAUAUAAUAUUUUAUAAAAUAAAACGGUAUUACAGCUAAUUUAAUACCAAUUAUUAAAUACGGAAAUAAAACGGUAUCGGUACCAACCACGGGUAACGAUAAUAAUAUUCGAUAAAAAGUUAUAAAAUAAUUAAAUUUAUAUUUGGACAGGAAAUUAAAUUUUAAAAAUUAUAUCCGGGAAAAAUUUGUAAUAUUACGAAAAUUGGUUAAAUAUAUACGUUCGUUAACCAAAAUUUAUAUAAAUACGCCGCCGUUAUUAAUAAAAAAAACAAUUAUAAUUGUAAUUAUCCCCAAAAUAUUUUUCGGGGCAAAAUUAUAAUAGCGAAAAUUAACGAAAUUUGCGAAAAAAAAUAUAAACGGUUUAAAAAAAGAAAUUUCGAUAAAAAUAUAAAACGAAUUAAAUAAAAUAUAAAUAUUAUUAAACGAAAUUAUUAAAAAUUAUUUUCCAAUAUGGAAAAUAAUAUUAAAAGAAAUAUUAUGGAAAAAAAUUAAUAUUCCCCCAAUAUAUUUAUUUUUAAAUAAAAUUGGAACCAAAUAUUGUUACGAUCAAAGUAUCGGGGUAACCUGUUUUUAUGGUAAAAUACAGUGGGUUGAAACAACUGAGCGUCUAAUUGGGUAACUGGGUAUUUUCAAUGACUGGGGUGAAAUUAUAAUCGAUUCCUGGGUAGGUAAUAAGUUAAUUGCUGCUAAGCAAUCCUAAACUAAGUUUUAUUUACAUGGUAAUAAGCGUGUCUUAUAUAGACUUUGUUCCAAGUGUGAUUUUUUUUAAUUUUUACAGAUUAUUUGAAAU
rnacentral:sRNA from 1 species